rnacentral:rRNA from 1 species
AUUGAACGCUGGCGGAAUGCUUUACACAUGCAAGUCGAACGGCAGCACGGACUUCGGUCUGGUGGCGAGUGGCGAACGGGUGAGUAACAUAUCGGAACGUAUCCAAUAAUGGGGGAUAACGAGUCGAAAGAUUCGCUAAUACCGCAUACGCCCUACGGGGGAAAGCUGGGGACCUUCGGGCCUGGCGUUAAUGGAGCGGCCGAUAUCUGAUUAGCUAGUUGGUGAGGUAAAGGCUCACCAAGGCGACGAUCAGUAGCUGGUGUGAGAGGACGACCAGCCACACUGGAACUGAGACACGGUCCAGACUCCUGCGGGAGGCAGCAGUGGGGAAUUUUGGACAAUGGGCGCAAGCCUGAUCCAGCCAUUCCGCGUGAGUGAAGAAGGCCUUCGGGUUGUAAAGCUCUUUCGCAAGGGAAGAAAACUUAGCCACUAACAUUGGUUGAGGUUGACGGUACCUUGAUAAGAAGCACCGGCUAACUACGUGCCAGCCGCCGCAGUAA